UACGAAGGGGGCGAGCGUUGUUCGGAUUUACUGGGCGUAAAGGGCGCGCAGGCGGCCAUUCAAGUCAGGCGUGAAAGUCCUGGGCUCAACCUGGGAACUGCGCUUGAUACGGCAGAGCUAGAGGAUGGAAGAGGCUCGCGGAAUUCCCAGUGUAGAGGUGAAAUUCGUAGAUAUUAGGAAGAACACCAGUGGCGAAGGCGGCUCACUGGUCCGGUACUGACGCUGAGGUGCGAAAGCGUGGGGAGCAAACAGG
rnacentral:rRNA from 1 species